rnacentral:tRNA from 1 species
GGGGUUGUGGCUCAGUGGUAGAGUGCUUGCCUAGCAUGUGUGAGGCACUGGGUUCAAUUCUCAGCACCCCA